rnacentral:lncRNA from 1 species
UUGUGUGCCAGGACCAGAAUGACUCCUUAAGCAUCCAAGUUGAUAAUGCCAACACUGCGAGAGUGGCGGGAGGAGUCUUCAUAACAGAUUACCCCGACAUAGAAUUCUUCAUGCAAAGCUCUUUUCCAGCCACUUUUGUCAACCCUGAAAACGGAAAAGUUGUUAUGGACUACAUAAAGACUAGCUCUGAGCCAAAAGCAAGUAUAGAAUUUUCAAAAACAAUUCUUGGUGCCAAACGCGCACCAAGAAUGGCUACCUACAGCUCCAGAGGGCCGUCUCCAAGCUGCCCAGUGGUCUUGAAGCCCGACCUUACUGCCCCCGGCGCAUUAAUCUUGGCGUCAUGGCCAAAAAUUAACCCAGUGGCUGAUGUGAAUUCGCGGUUACUUUAUAGUGAAUUCAAU